rnacentral:tRNA from 1 species
GCCUGGGUGGCUUAGUUGGUUAAGCGUCCGACUUCAGCUCAGGUCAUGAUCUCACAGUCCGUGAGUUCGAGCCCCAUGUCGGGCU